CCUACGGGAGGCAGCAGUGAGGAAUAUUGGUCAAUGGGCGUGAGCCUGAACCAGCCAAGUCGCGUGAGGGAUGAAGGUACUAUGUAUCGUAAACCUCUUUUAUAAGGGAAUAAAGUGUGGGACGUGUCCCCGGUUGUAUGUACCUUAUGAAUAAGGAUCGGCUAACUCCGUGCCAGCAGCCGCGGUAAUACGGAGGAUCCGAGCGUUAUCCGGAUUUAUUGGGUUUAAAGGGUGCGUAGGCGGCCUUUUAAGUCAGCGGUUAAAGGCUGUGGGUCAACCAUAGACGUGCCGUUGAAACUGGGAGGCUUGAGUAUGUGAGAGGCAGGCGGAAUGCGUGGUGUAGCGGUGAAAUGCAUAGAUAUCACGCAGAACCCCGAUUGCGAAGGCAGCAUGCC
rnacentral:rRNA from 1 species